rnacentral:rRNA from 1 species
UACGUAGGGACCAAGCGUUGUUCGGAUUUACUGGGCGUAAAGGGCGCGUAGGCGGCUUGUUAAGUCAGCUGUGAAAUCUCCGAGCUUAACUCGGAACUGUCAGCUGAUACUGAUGUGCUAGAGUGCAGAAGGGGCAAUCGGAAUUCUUGGUGUAGCGGUGAAAUGCGUAGAUAUCAAGAGGAACGCCUGAGGUGAAGACGGGUUGCUGGGCUGACACUGACGCUGAUGCGCGAAAGCCAGGGGAGCAAACGGG